AAAUCCUAGAACAAUUUGUUGUGUCUUUUUUUUCAAUUUAAAUAAGACUGCAACUCAUUUGACGGUUGGUGCUAGAUGAAGAUAAGAAUUCAAUUGAUGGCGUAUGAAUAUUUCCACAUUUUUCAUAAGAUAAAAAAAAUAUUACAUGCAAAGUGGCUCCUAAAAUAUUAUCUUGUUUAAAUUUAUUCUUUUCAAUAGUUUGCAAUUGCAGCUGUUAAACGUAAUUUCAGUUACUGUAGUUGAGCCACCUUAUAUAUUUUCAAAUAUA
rnacentral:lncRNA from 1 species